rnacentral:rRNA from 1 species
GACGAACGCUGGCGGCGUGCUUAACACAUGCAAGUCGAACGGAAAGGCCCUGCUUUUGUGGGGUGCUCGAGUGGCGAACGGGUGAGUAACACGUGAGUAACCUGCCCUUGACUUUGGGAUAACUUCAGGAAACUGGGGCUAAUACCGGAUAGGAGCUCCUGCUGCAUGGUGGGGGUUGGAAAGUUUCGGCGGUUGGGGAUGGACUCGCGGCUUAUCAGCUUGUUGGUGGGGUAGUGGCUUACCAAGGCUUUGACGGGUAGCCGGCCUGAGAGGGUGACCGGCCACGUUGGGACUGGGCUACGGCCCAGACUCCUCCGGGAGGCAGCAGUGCGGAAUAUUGCACUAUGGGCGGAAGCCUGAUGCAGCAACGCCGCGUGCGGGAUGACGUCCUUCGGGUUGUAAUCCGCUUUCGCCUGUGACGAAGCGUGAGUGACGGUAAUGGGUAAAGAAGCACCGGCUAACUACGUG